rnacentral:lncRNA from 1 species
AGUCGGUAAGGUUAAAAUAUCUUUAUUCAGAUAAACAGCGGCCAAGCAUAAGCCAGAGCAUGCCCAGAGGCAGCAGGCUAGGGAGGCCAGAGAGAAGGGCUCCCAUGUGUCUGCUGCCCCCUUAAGAACUCCCCAUGAGUCACCCUGAACCUCCCCUGACCACACCCUGACAGGCAUAGUCAAGCACACCUGUACCUAGCUCCUAGGAGGUGGGGCUACAGGAUCUCCCUACAAUUCCCCUUUUAGUCUAAAAGAGGAUUAAAACUUAAUGGUGUAAAACAUACAAAAUUAACAAUCAUAAAGGUGAAAUACAAGAAGAUACAAUAAUUGUAUAUAAUUGCACAUCCUAACUAUGUCUAUUCCGGCUAAGCCCUAAAGUCAUCUGAAAGGGGUGUCCAACUUGAACACCUCCUUCCAAUACCAACUCUAAACAAUAAGAAAGUUAUUCCUAACUAGGCUUACACUACCCUAAUAGACAAUAAUGGGGAACAGGGGUGUAGCAUCUUCCAAGUUACUUCCUGCUGAAACAGGACGAUGGUAGCCUUGUGGGGUCCUGUGGGAAGAAAAUGUUAGUAUAGGGGAAGUCUCUAACGGGUUAUCUCCAGUGCAUGUUAGAUGGGAUUUGCUUGAUUGAAGAUCUAGGUUGAAAUCCUUAACUUGAUUGAAGCCAGUACUGGAGGCUCUGGUCGGAGUCAGUUGAUGUGGCGUGAGUCAGAUGCAGUGCAGUCCAGGAGGUCUGGCCCAGUUCCUUUACGGAGCAUCCAGGGAUUGCUGUCAUUGGCUGUGUGGGACUCAGACAUAAGUACCAGCAGAGAAAUGUUUGCUUGCAUAUGUAUGUAUGCUGGGAAAGGCAACCACGGGAAAAUGACAAUUAUGAGAGGGUAUACACCUUGAAAGAAAGAGCCAAGAAAAGACAAAAGAUAGUCCUCAAAUUCUUCAUUUAUUUUGUAUUACAUCAAUUGGCUUCUUGAUAUAAUACUGAAACUAAAAUUUAGUUAAACAACAUGCUUGGAUUUUAGGGGAGGAAAGCCAAACCCAACUCUAAAUCCAGUAUUGGUUUAAUUGAAUAGGGACUAGAAAAUGAAGAGAAAUAGAGUUAUUUGAGAGACAGCUGUAAAGCUUACCGUAUGGCACGUUCCUUUCGUUUGAUGGUUAUAGCUACCUUUUUUUUCUUUAAGUAUCUACCCAAGUGUCCUUUGACUUCUGGAGGUUUUUCUGUGAAGAUAAAAACAAAGCACUUUCCUUUCUUUUGGGAGGCUUUCAUUUAGUUUAUGAGAUAUACCUAAGUAGAGAUAUACCUCAGUAAAUACCUGUCAGUCGUCCUUGUCAAGAGGGUUGUCUUUUUCAACUCGAAUCUUGAUCAAUUUUGAUGGUACCCAAACUUUUUCUUCUCCUGUGGAAACAAAUGCAAAACCUCUACCCCAACGUAACACAUGUCCAGGUUUCCAUACCGAGGUCAGUACAUCUUUGAAGUACACUGGUUGAUUCAGUUCAGCAGUUUUUUUCCAUAGUCCAGUGUCUUUCUGCAGCUGUUUGUCCUUUGCCAUUGGCAUUAAGAAAGUUUAGUGUCAAUAAAGCAUUAUGUAACCUACGUUUGGGGGGUUUAGACUUACCAGCUUGCCUAUGGAGCACCUUCUUAAGCAUUCUAUUAGAUCUUUCAACACUGCUUGUCCUGUAGGAUUGUGUGGUAUACCUGUGACAUGCUUUAUGUUAUAAUAUUUGAAGAACUGUUCCAUUUUUGUGGAGACAUAUGCUGGAGCAUUGUCAGUUUUUAUCUGUGUAGGUAUACCCAUAACUGCCAUCACCUCUAGUAGGUGUGUAAUAACAGAAUCAGCUUUAUGAAGAUGAUCCAUAGUCGGUAAGGUUAGGAUAUCUUUAUUCAGAUAAACACCGGUCAAGCAUAAGCCAGAGAGAAGAGCUCCCAUGUGUCUGCUGUCCCCUUAAGAACUCCCCAUGAGUCAUCCUGAACCUCCCCUGACCACAUCCUGACAGGUGUGGUCAAGCACACAUGUAGCUAGCUCCUAGGAGAUGGGGCUACAGUGUCUCCCUACACUGGGAGGCAAAGGAAGGCAGAUAUCUUGUGAGUUUAAGGUCAUUCUGGUUGACACAAUAAGUUCCAGGCCAGCCAAGGCUACAUAGUGAGUUUUUGACUGGGUUACCUACUCAGAUAUGAAUUCCUUCUUGUGGAGCAGAGCCUCAGAGAGCAAUUGGUCACUCCUAUGACACACUUACCAUUAUUGCACUAGAGAGCAUGUCAGAGAAGCUGGUCCUUGCUUCCAUAGCACAGCCCAUAGACAGUGGUUAUUUUUAACAGUUACUUUUCAAAGUGCCACCAAUACCUAUGUACUUUCCACUAACAUUUAUUAGUCAUAAUUUUAGAUACUUUUUUGUGAUUUGGCAUCAACAUGAUUACUCAUGAUUCAUUGUUGAAUGUCUGUCUUAUUCUGGGUACUGAGCCUGUGGUGCUAAACACACAGACACAUGAUGGUUCUAGUUUAUGGUAAAAGUGACCUUCUCCAGAGAGAGGAGGCAGGUAGACUAUAACGUCUCUCCUUCCUGAAUGCCACCAGGCUGCAGUGGUACCUCUGAAACCCCACGGUUGCUGGGCUGUGUGUCUCCCCACUGCAGGUCGCUAUUCUGUUUUGGGUGAUGGUAAUUUCCUUUCCUGUUGGUACCUCUCCUUUUCUUUUUCUUUCCAUGGUAACUUUUUUUUUCUUUUUUUGUACUGCCUGAAUGAUGAAACUUUUUUUCUCUUGCUCUCUGCUCUGCACCUUCUGUCUAGUUGCCAAGGGAAACCAGAUAAGCCCUAAGUGCAAUAUUAAUUUAACAUCCUGGGGCUAGUUCAAGUGCGUGACAUCUGUGGUGUCUCUUUGGCACUAGCCAGGUCCUCCCUGCUUUCAGUGUGUGUUCUUUGUCAGGCUUGUAGAUGUUCCAAGGCUGAAGUUCUGGGCUCUAAGCUUCAGAGGUGAAGGCUCAGACAAGGUUUCUGAGGACCAGACAAAGCAGUGAGGUGUAUUUAAGAUUGUCUUAAUUUUGAAAAAGGCUUCUCCGUGAAAAGGCCUGAAGUUAUUUGUCACUCAUCUGAGCAGCUUCUAUUCCUUCCUUGUUCUCAAAAAGAACUAGUGGAAAUACAGGCCGAAUGAAGUCUGGAAACGCUGUCCUGUUCAUCCUUCCCCUCAGAUACCAAUUAUCAGUGCCUCUCGGUCCUGGGAUUUCGAGUUGCUUUUCAUUUUGUGACUGUCAAUAAUUUCUGUCCCAAUCUCAUUGUUCUGUCCUGCACCCCGUGUUGCUGGACUGUGAAAGCUACCAAGUUAUGAUAAUAUGGAUGCUUGAGUUAGAACGAAGAGCUGUAGGGAGCCCUUGCUGCCUCGCUUCACUCUGGCAUCCCCCACGGUGUCUUCCUUUCCACACCGAUAGUUGCAGCAUCUCUAGCGCCGUAGCACCGUUUGACUUGUUUGUGGUCUUCACACAUCAGCUUUCUGUGCAGUUCAGACACUGCACAAGCUGACCCACUAUCUUCCCUCCUGGGAGCCCUGGUUCCAGACUGUGCAUUUUGCAAACGAAGCACCUCCUCUUUGUUCCCACACUGACAGUAAAUUUGCUUCCUGUAGUGAUUGUCUUGUGAUGUCCCAGCUUCCAUGGUUUUUCAGUUCUCAGUCUUCCACAUUAAAGUUGUUCAUUGAAGUAGUUUUUUGUAGUUUCUCUUUGGACCUGGGCCCUGACUGAUGCACAUGUGUUACCCUGUACAAGAGAUACUGUAGGUUUACGGUGCACAACACUUGCACACAGGGCAACUAACAUUUCUAUCACUGAAUCCAGAGUGCUUGUGUUCCAGGGGGAGGAGAAUCUCUGCUACACCCCCCCCAAUUCUAACAGGAGCACAGCCAUUUGUAGACACUGAUUCAUAACAUGAAUUUCUGUAUAUUAAUCCUCCCGGUGAAAAAGAUGUGGUGUAUCAAGAUUCACUCCAUAGAAUAUCUCAACAACAUUUUAGUUUGUUCCAUGCAGCCAAGCAAACAACAAGGCUAGGACAUAGAGACAACACACAAGUAGCUGGAAGGAGAGAGGAAAGGGUGGAGUGUAGGGAGACACGGUACCCACGCCUCCUAAGGGCUGGCUACAGGUGUGCCUGACCACGCAUGGUCAAGGUGAGGUCAGAGUGACACGGCGUGGGCUCUUGAGCGACCACAAGCACAUGGAAAGGUCUCUUUCCCUUCGGCUGCCCCUUCUCUCUGGCCUCCCUGCCUUGCUGCCCCUGGGCACACUCUGGCUCGCGUUUGGCUGGUAUUUAUCUGAAUAAAGGUAUCAUGAAUGUACAAGCCUUCUCCUUCAGUGGAGUGAGGGGGCAAGCCACCAAAAGAGGUCAGAUGCUUACUGCUCAGUCAUAGAAGCCAUAUUCCGUUUGUUUUGUUGUAUUCUAUUAAUUGGAAACAAACAGUCAGAAGUUCUGGUUUGGGUAGGGAAUGUCCCCCAAAAGCUCAUGUUGGCUGCUUGGUCCUCAAUUGGUGGUCCCACUUUGGAAGAAUGUGCAAGCUUUAUGAGUGCUGUACCUGGUCAGCAGACCCACUCCCUGCUUCCUGACUGCUGUGAUGACAAAACAUCCUCUGAUAGAUGCUUCUACUUCCAUAGCAUCCUGUCCAGUCUCAUGGGACCAAUCAACCACGGACAGAGCCUCGGAAUCUACAAGCCCAAGCCAGCAAGUCUUUCUUCAUGUGGUUUACGUCAAGUCUUUGCCACAUCAGCACAAAGACUAAAGCAAUAGGUUCAGUCUACACCCUGGGGUAGUGGAUUGCACAUGGGUGUGACAGGGUGGGGUCAAUGAGAGCCAUGACUAGGGUUGCUUGGAUAUGGCUCUCCUUGUAUUUACGCUGCUUGGUGUUUGUUGAUUCAGCAAUUAAUGCUUUUCACAAAAUUUGGGAACAUUUGUUGCUAUAAAUUCCUCAUGUAUUUUUUUCUACUCCAUUUCUCCUCUUAACUUUUAUGCUUCUAGUUUCCUGUUUGCCUAUCCUUUUCAUAUUAUCCCUUAGCACCUAAGCCCUUAUUAACUUCUAAAAUAUAUUUCUACUUGUUCUUUGAGGAGUUCAUACAUGCAUACAAUGUAUUCUAUCAUAUUCACCCCUUUCCAGAACUCUACCUCCUGGGUCCACCUCCGCAUGCCCCUCUUCCAACUUUAUUCCUGUAAUUUUGGUUUGUUUCAGUAACCUAUUGAGUCCACUAGCACUGCCCAUGUAUGCAUUGGUGUGGGGCCAUCCCUGAGUGUGGUAAAUCUACCAGGACCACACCCUAAAGAAAACUAAGCCUUCCUUCCCUAGCAGCCAUUAGCGCCUGUCACUAGCUUCUCACCUAGAGGUGGGGGCUCCUGUGCCCCCUCCCAGUCAAUGCUUGUGUGUUGACUGGCACGAUCUUGUACAGGGCCUGUGUGGCCACCUCAGCUGCCCUAAACUAUGAGUGUGAUUUUACUCCGUUCCUCACUCACCUAUGGGUUUUAGAAUAGAUUAAUAUUUUUUAAACUUCUUAACUUUUACAUAUUUAUUUAUAUUCUCAUUAUGUGUCUGUGGGUGAGUGCGCAUGAGCUGCAGGCACCUGAGAAAGUGAGGAGAAGGCAUCACACUCCUUGGAGGUGAGCUGCUAACAUGUUCUUAACUGCUGAGCCAUCUCUCCAGCUCCCAUUUGUUAUAGACUGAAUAGUUUCUACUAUUCUAACUUGAAGUUCACUGACUUUUUAAACCUUUGUUCUGCAGUAAAACCUGUCUACUGAAUUUCAAAAUUUCAGACAUGUUUUUUACAGUUUUAACAUUUCAUUUAAGAUGUUCACGUGUGAAGUUGUAACUGAUUUCUUCAAACUUAGGUACAGCAGCUUCAGAGAUGGAAGGGUGCCUACUGAGAUCUCUAAGCAUUGAAAAUGUUUGCCAAACUAGCAAGAGAUGGAGAUUUGGCUCCCCAGAACCCAAGCAAAUGUGGAACAGGCAUGGUAACCUCAGAAGUGGGAGACAAAGUAUCCCUGGAGUAGACUGGUUAAUGAUACUAGCUCUGGGUUUGACUGAGAGACCAGGCCUCAAAAAGAAUAAGGUUGAAGAACAACAAAGGAAGACACCAACUGUGUACUAAGAUGCACAUGUGAACAUGCGUGCACACAUGUGUGAAUAUGCACACACAGGUGAACACGCAUGCACAUAUGCACACACACAAACCCAUUAAAAAUGAAAGCAGUUAAGCCUCUUACGACAUUUGAAAGAAAAUCGCUAUCCAGAAGUACCAAACAAGUACAGUUUUCUAGAACUCUAAGUAGAAACCCCAUUUACAGCAAAAGACACCCCCCAUGUUACCUCUUUGACCCAUGCUUUUCUCUUGUAAGAUACAGUUCUAUCUAAGGUACUGCUGGAGACAGCUUCUAAUAUCACCU